rnacentral:snRNA from 1 species
GGCUGUGAGGACGAUCUUCUGUCUGUGACAUCUGUCACCCCAUUGAUCACCAGGGUUGAUUCAGCUGAUCUGGCUGGCUAGGUGGGUGUCCCCUUCCUCACUGCUCUAUGUGGGUCCCUCCUGAAGCUGCGCGCUUGGUUGAAGAGGAUGACCUAUCCCCAUAGAAGGAGGAACGUCCUUCAGUCAAGAGUAUAUGAGUAGCUGUGCUCCCCUGCUAGAACCACCAAACAAGUCUCAAGAUAUGUAGCCCUGAGAGCCUAUGUAGGAACUGGGUAACUUUUUUUUUUUUUUUCAGAUCUUGGAGAUCAUUAUUUAAAUGUGGCAGCUU